UACGGGGGGGGCAAGCGUUGUUCGGAAUUACUGGGCGUAAAGCGCACGUAGGCGGCUUUCUAAGUCGGGGGUGAAAUCCUGGAGCUCAACUCCAGAACUGCCUUCGAUACUGGAGAGCUCGAGUCCGGGAGAGGUGAGUGGAACUGCGAGUGUAGAGGUGAAAUUCGUAGAUAUUCGCAAGAACACCAGUGGCGAAGGCGGCUCACUGGCCCGGUACUGACGCUGAGGUGCGAAAGCGUGGGGAGCAAACAGGG
rnacentral:rRNA from 1 species